GACGAACGCUGGCGGCGUGCCUAACACAUGCAAGUCGAGCGAGAGACUUCGGUCUCUAGCGGCGGACGGGUGAGUAACACGUGGGUAACCUGCCUCAUAGAGGGGGAUAGCCUCCCGAAAGGGAGAUUAAUACCGCAUAACAUCAUGCUAACGCAUGUUAGUAUGAUCAAAGGAGCAAUCUGCUAUGAGAUGGACCCGCGGCGCAUUAGCUAGUUGGUGAGGUAAAGGCUCACCAAGGCGACGAUGCGUAGCCGACCUGAGAGGGUGAUCGGCCACAUUGGAACUGAGACACGGUCCAGACUCCUACGGGAGGCAGCAGUGGGGAAUAUUGCACAAUGGGCGAAAGCUUGAUGCAGCAACGCCGCGUGAGUGAUGAAGGCCUUCGGGUUGUAAAGCUCUGUCUUUUGGGACGAUAAUGACGGUACCAAAGGAGGAAGCCACGGCUAACUACGUGCCAGCCGCCGCGGUAACAC
rnacentral:rRNA from 1 species